AGAGAAUGUGAUUUGUAUAAUAGAGAGAACAUUAUUAAUGUUCUAACUUAUUAAGUUAGGAUACAGAAUAUCUGAUCACACUGUGAUCUCCAAGAAUGUAUUAUUUAACGAAAAACUAUGGUUUGGUAUAGCAUUGCAAGGGCAAGGACAUUUACGCAAGAUCUGUUUGUUUCCUGUAAACAUGGACUUUAUUACUGUAUGGUUCACCUACCACACACCUUUAUUGCAAAGGUAAAAAGUGCACUUAGGUCCAGAGCAGAUCGAGGCACGACUUGACAGAAAAUGAAGAUAACUAAGGCAAUGGAAAGUCUUAGAGUUGAAGGAUUAUUAAGAAAGUGUUCAGAGGGAACAAGAAUGCCCUUCUCUGGGAGGUCAGUGAAUUAGGAAGGACAGUUGGGAGCUUUACUUGACGUCAGCAUCUGAGUCUGGAAAUGUCAUUGGUAAAAUUAAUGUCUGGAAUUUUGUGUUGUGAAACAGCACAUUGGCUCUGCAGCGUUUGGCAAGGUCCAUGGACAGAGAGAUCACACCAGCUGGGAACAAUCUGACAAGAAAUCAGGUUUCCUUUAGUCACCUGAGAGGUCCUCAAGGAGAGAGGAAUGGAUGGGUAGCACUUUAAUAGAAGCCUUUAGGAUCUCAAUAGUGCUACUCUAGAUGUCUUCAGUAUAGAUGCAGAAAAAGAAAAACUAAAUGACUUCACAGGAAUUAGCUCAAUUCUGAACAUGAUUAUUUCACAUUGGCAGUUUAUACUUGAUUCGUCUUUUUAAAUUUAAAACAAGAGCCUAGGGUGUAAAUUCGAGGUAGCAUUACAGUCACAGUAUGUUUACACCACCUGUAAGGUGCCCAGCAUCUAACCCAUGUGGCUGGAGAUUCUACUUUUAAAUGCAUCACCAGAGAAAAUUUCCAAUUAACCAUGCCAGGGAGGCCCUGAUCAGUGUGUAUGCUCUGUCCAUCUCCACAACAACCCAAUUCAGCAGAAAGGCCUCCAUUUUUCAGGUGAAGAAACCACAGCUCAGAGCCAAUGAUCAUCAGAGACCCUCAGUCUCACUGGCUGUCAGUUAGACCCACAUCCUUCUCUGUGAAGGGAAGCAUUGGGCCUGAUGUGGGCUGUGCAAGCUGACUCUCCUGAGAUGAUCAAUGCUAUUCUUGAACCUGGGAGAACUGAAGACAAGAUGACC
rnacentral:lncRNA from 1 species